CUUCGUCGAUCUGCUGCGGGCAGAUGAAGUGGAUGUGGCUGUCGAUGCCGCCGGCGGUGACGAUCAAACCCUCGGCCGACAGGAUCUCGGUGCCCGGGCCGAUCAGGAUGUCCACGCCCGGCUGCACGUCGGGGUUGCCGGCCUUGCCGAUGGCCACGAUGCGGUGGCGCUUGAUGCCGAUGUCGGCCUUGACGAUGCCCCAGUGGUCGACGAUCAGCGCGUUGGUGAUCACCAGGUCGCAGGCCUCGUGCGGGUGCGGGCCGUUGGGCAUCUGGCCCUGGCCCAUGCCGUCGCGGAUG
rnacentral:sRNA from 1 species